CGGCGGACGGGUGAGUAACGCGUGGGUAACCGUGCCUCAUACAGGGGGAUAACAGUUGGAAACGGCUGCUAAUACUGCAUAAGCGCACAGUACCGCAUGGUACGGUGUGAAAAACUCCGGUGGUAUGAGAUGGACCCGCGUCUGAUUAGGUAGUUGGUGGGGUAACAGCCUACCAAGCCGACGAUCAGUAGCCGACCUGAGAGGGUGACCGGCCACAUUGGGACUGAGACACGGCCCAA
rnacentral:rRNA from 1 species